rnacentral:rRNA from 1 species
CCUACGGGAGGCAGCAGCUAAGAAUCUUCCGCAAUGGACGAAAGUCUGACGGAGCGACGCCGCGUGGGUGACGAAGGCCGUGAGGUUGUAAAGCCCUUUUCUACCCGAGGAAUAAGCUUAGGAGGGAAUGCCUGAGUGAUGACGGUAAGGUAGGAAUAAGCCCCGGCUAAUUACGUGCCAGCAGCCGCGGUAAU